rnacentral:tRNA from 1 species
GCCGAAGUGGUGGAACUGGUAGACGCGCUGGCUUCAGGAGCCAGUGGGUGCAAGCCCGUGCGGGUUCGAGUCCCGCCUUCGGCA